GAGUCAGACAGUUACCGUGUUUUUGAUCGUUCUUCAUGUUUUGUCAAUUACAAUAUGCUUCGGUGAAGAUGUGCGCUCCUCCAACAAGACCACUGAAGGGAGACCACUUACGACAACCAAUCAGCAGAGGUCUACCGCCAAGCUGAAAAACAACGGGACAACUGUACCUCUCCUAUUGGUCGGAGAAGAAUGGAGACCAGUCACUCUGCUCCAAUCACAGGGCCAUCCUGCGUCUCUGAAGGUGCUGAUAGAAACAGAGGAGGAACAGCUGCUCCUGAUUCUGGAGAAAAACCA